rnacentral:rRNA from 1 species
UACGGGGGGGGGCAAGCGUUGUUCGGAAUUACUGGGCGUAAAGGGCUCGUAGGCGGCCAACUAAGUCAGACGUGAAAUCCCUCGGCUUAACCGGGGAACUGCGUCUGAUACUGGAUGGCUUGAGUUUGGGAGAGGGAUGCGGAAUUCCAGGUGUAGCGGUGAAAUGCGUAGAUAUCUGGAGGAACACCGGUGGCGAAGGCGGGUCU